ACUAAUUACUUCCACUUUUUUUCAUAAAAUCAUAUUAUAUCUAAGAAUUUCCUGUUUUUGUUUUUGUUUGUGUUUGUUUGUUUUCAAGUUAGGAAGAAGAUUAAACCACAUUUUGAUUAUUGAUAUCAUAUCGUAUCUAAUCAUGUAUAUUUGAAGGAAAAAAAUAAAAUUUUGUUUGUUAUUUUGCAUCACGACCACAGAAAUUCUUGUUUUUCUUUGAUAAAUGUGUUAUAGAGGGGAUUCAUUCCUAUAUAUAUGCGAUCCACUUUAAACAGUGAUUAGUUUUACAUGUUGAAUAUUCCAUCAUCACAAUGAAUUUGAUAUUCAUGGGCAACAAUGAUCUUUCUGUCGAUGAAACACUCAUCAUAAAAAACAUAAUUGAAGAUGUAGUUAUACCAUUAGAUCUACAACAUCAUUUAUCAUUUGCCUUCAUCAAUGUAGGAGAUCCGCCACUAGACGAUCAAGAACACUAUAUAAAAAUAGUACAUUUUUUAAAUUAUACGUUUAAAGUAAGAUUAGAUAUAAUAUGUAAUAGAACGAUACUUCAUAUUGAUAUAUGGAAAGUAUUAUAUUAAUUUUUAAAAUAUCUGUUAUCUGUAUUGUAUUGUAUUAUUGUAUUUAUCUAAAAAUCAAAUAAAACACUUGUAAUAAAA